rnacentral:lncRNA from 1 species
AAAGGGGCACACAGGGAAUAUUUUGGGGGAGGUUUUCUUUCCACUCUAAUAACAACACAGUAACACCCACACAGAGGCUCCCAUUUUUUUUCCAUCUUUGAACACGGCUUCAUGCACGUACACACGCAGAUAACUUACGCACGAAUCACUCCACACAGAGAGAGUAACAUAGAGAGAGAAACGGAGAGAGAGAGUGACGAAAAGGGAGGCAGAGACAAAACAGAAAGGAGGAAGGACGCCAUUUUUGGAGUUUGUUUUCCUUUUCUUUUUAUUUGCUACUCCUCUUCUUCAUACAACUUCUCCCCACACGCACACAAAGGGGAAACGACGGGGAAGGAGGAUGGUGCGGUCGGAUUUCGCUAACAUCAACUCGAAUCGUGGUUGAGUCUAGUUCUGCCUGAUAUUGAGUUGGGCGCGGGUUUUGUUCUGCGGUUCUGUUCUUGGGUCAAUUGUAUUUAGGACUGGAUUUUGUUGAUUGGUCUUCGAUCCGGGGCUGGAAUCGUUCACUUUGAGUCGAGUUGGAGUAUUUCUUCGAGGUUUGCUGGUUUUCAUACUGCUUUUCUGGCGAAUUAAGAUACAAUUUGGUUUUAAUUGGGUUAUUGCGAGUGGUUCGGGUUAUAAUUUUCCAAAUAUCGGGUUGGAGUUCGGUUCAUUAUCGAGGUUUCCGGCGCGGAUUCUCUUUUGUUUCAACAGGAUAACGUUCAUAAAAGUGAAAUUUGAGGUCCAUUUCUUCUCUCGUUCUCUAUCUUUAUCUUGAAUCUCGAUUAUUUUUUGCAUAUGAAUGUCUUUGUGUGCUUGCCAUGCUUGAAUCUUUAUUGUGAAUCUUUAUUGUGUGUAUGGUUGAUGUUGGUUUUGGAUUUUGAAGAGAAAAAUUGAAUCGUUAAUCGAAGAAUGAAUUUAGCGUGUGACUGAGAAUGAAAUUAGGGGGCUUGGAUUAAAAAAUCGAGAAAAGUGAAUGUUGAUUAAUUUUGAUGCAUUGAUGUUUUUGAGCCCAAUAGUGCCAUGUUUCAGGUUGAGAAGGGAUAGGCAAGACGUAGGUCGGGUAGGCAAAUCUAGAGAUUGUGGAUUGAUCGAACGUUUGAGAUGUGUGCUGAAAUGGUUUUGUUUUAUCAUAUUCGACUCAAAUGUGCUAUUUGGCCAGGGAAUGCCUCGAGGUAUUUGUGUUUAUUCACCGGGGAAUGCCCCGAAGUAUUUUGUAUUCGGAGGAUGUCCGUGAUGAAGGCUCGAGGCAUCGGGUAAAGCACGGGAGCGUAAUUUCAGGAUUAGUGUAGGUUAGAAUAGGAUUUAUUUUCGCGCUUUUUUAUAUUUUAGAAUGUAUAAUUGGACUGAACACUAAAUUUUGGAUUUAUUUUGUUUCGUGUGUUUGAUUGAUUGUUUUAUGUGUUUUUGUGGUUUAUACAUCUGCAGUGUCAACUUAGCCGAUAUACACCAUCAAGCGACCGUGGUCGAACCACGGGAUCGAGGGGUGCCUAACACCUUCCCUUCGGUCAACAGAAUUCAUUAGCCGGAAUCUCUGUUCGCAAACCAGUUUAAAGAGUCAAAACGUUUUUGAAAAGGAUCUUUCAAAGGUGACUUGGCACACCUGAUUGUGUCAAGUGGCGACUCUGAGUUUUGAUUGUUAAAAGUCCUUUUCGAAAAAAAUUUUCAUCUUUGUCACUUUAAUAAUAAAAACCCUUUCGAACUUGAAACUUAAUCUUUUCGGAGUUAAAAAAAAAGGGUGUGACAGCUUUAGCGACUCUGCUGGGGAUCUUUUCAAAAUUCGAGCUUAUUUGUGGAGUCGUAUCGGCUUUGUUUGGCAUUAUGGGCAUAUAAACAUUGUUUGUGAUUAUUGUUUGUGCUAUUGUUAUCACUGUUGUGCGUUUUCGUGCUCUUUGUGUACAGUAUUUAUCCUAUAUGUUACCGCUUUUAUAUCUGGCAUCAUGUGUCUACCCCCAGGCCUUCUUUCUGCAACAAGUCCGUAGUACACGGGUUGUACACGACCUCUAGUUGAGUCACCCUUAUUUUAGGGGGGGAGCCGUUGGUGUUAUGGAGUAGGUGAAAAACAAAGCAGCCACUAUCGACCAUAUGGUCCCUCGAACAGCCUUGUUAGUGAACCACAACGUAGGUCAGCCUUUAGGUCAUGCUUAUGUGCAUCAUACUGAGACCUAGCGGGACCCACAUGGCCCUUUGUAGGAGACUCACCUCUAAAGCAUCCUUACGUGCUAAAUGUUGCAUCUUUGAGGAUAACGUGGUCAUUUGACGGACUGAUUUGGGAAAAACAUGUGUUAGAAGUACAGUUUGUGGGUAAUGAAAUAAAAAAAUAAGAAAAAAAAAGAGUUUCGUAGUUUUUAGAGUUUUUUUUAUGGCUUUUAUUUUUCACAAUUCCAAAAUUCAAAAGGACUUUUUUACCUUUCGCACUCAUUUUCUCAAAAAACAUCAAAAAGAUUUUCCUUUGUCUCGUUUAGCAUGCAUUCACAAUUCGAAAACUUCAAAAAGAUUUUUCAUUCGUAGGAUGUUUAUAAAAGAAAAAUGCAAAAAAAAGAUGUUAGAACUUUUUUACAUUUCGUAUAACGAAAAUACCAAAAAGAUUUUUCUUUUAUAGUUGUUGAUGUCAUUUUUCUGUGAAGUAUCAAAAUGAAAACUCAAAAGAUUUUAUUAACAUGGUUCAUCGUCUGUCUUUGGUCGUAUCUCUUACGUUAGGGUCUAGCCUGUCAUUUAAUCAUUAAUUGUUCAAUUUGGAUGAACUACGCACCCCUGAUUCUCCUCUUUCGGGAGUGAGAUAUGUAGGCAGCCUAUUGUUGGUUCGGGGAUCUUAUUUAAAAAAUCCAAAAAAAAAAAAAUUCUUCACUUUUCAUCUAGAGUAGGUGUUUCAUACAUGUCUUGAAAAUUAAAAUACAAAAAAAAAUCCUUAAUAGUCGUAGGUUUUAUUUUUGGUUGAUCUUAUUCCAAAAAAUUUAAAAAAAAAGAUUCCUUCACUCUUUAUUUAGAGUAGGUGUUUCAUAUACAUCUUCAAAAGAAAACUACAAAAAGAUUUUCCUUUAAUAGUUUCAAGUUUCAUUUUAUAUGAAAUUCAAAAUUGAAAAACCCAAAAGAUUUUUCUUUGGUAAUCAUAUAUUUUGUUUUGUAUAGGUAUUUUAAAAGUAAAAAAUGCAAAAAGAUUUUCGUCAAUUCUUUUAACAAAUUGUUAUUUUCUUUUCUUCUUAAAGUUUCAAGGAAAAUAAUGAAAAAAGAGUUUAACUGGCCAUUUUGGCAAGACUUCACGAACUACGCACACCUGAUUCUCCCCUUUCAGGGUGAGAUACGUAGGCGACCUUCUAGGGUUCGGUGUGAUUUUUUUUCAAAAAAAAAAAAGAGGUUUUGAAAAAUCGUUGAACUCUAACACAUUUGCUAUCUCUUGUCGAGUUAGUUUAAGGUGGUUGGUUUGUGACAUUUUAGCUGGUCCUCCAUAUUGCUCCAAGUUACAGAUGAAGUUAUGGUCAACAGGGAUACCGAGUUAGUUGUCACUAAUUAGAUAGGGAGUUCGGGGAAUGAGAAUGUAGGAGAUAAUAAAGAGAUUCGGAAAUUAAGGCGGCAAAUAAUAGAAAUGCAUCAAGCUUGGGCUAAUGGGUUGCUGCAUCCUCCAGUGCCCACUGAUAAUCUGGAAUAUCUUCCUAACUUGCCUCCCGUGUCACAUGCAUAAUUUCCCAUUUUUGUUGAUAUGCCACAACAUGCAUCAGGAUCGACUCCGGGGCAACAAUAUCCAACCACUUCUAAUGUUCAUUUCCUCACUCCCCAAUCCAAGACUACCACAUACUCAGCUCCAGAUGUUGUUCAUGCUUUUGCUGCGCCACCCCCACCUCCUACUUUUGAUGUUCAUCCACAAGUUGUUUCUCCUUACUCUACAAGAGAGCCUGCAUUGAAUAUUUUUAGUGAUCAUCAUUAUGCUCUCGAGCCUACAUUUAAGUCGACUGGUCCUUACGAUUGCCCUCAACCGCCUGAAUUUCCUCCUAACACUAAGAAGCCUGUUAUGACAGAAGAACAAAAGGAAAUAGCCAAAGAAUUGAGAAGUUUGAAACUGACCAUGAAAAACUUGCAAGGACUUGGGGGGUACAAAAGUGUCUCAUAUAAAGAUCUGUGCAUGUUUCCUGGUGUACAUCUUCCUCUUAGUUUUAAAAUUCCGAAGUUUGAGAAGUAUUAUGGACAUGGAAAUCUUGUAGCACAUUUGAGACGCUAUUGCAACCAGCUAAGGGGCGCUGGAGGGAAGGAAGAAUUACUCAUGGCAUAUUUCGGUGAGAGUCUUUCAGGUCUAGCUUCAAAAUGGUUUGUUGACCAAGACAUUGACAAAUGGAUUAGUUGGGAUGACCUAGCUAACAAAUUUGUGCAACAAUUUCAAUACAAUGUGGAGUUGAUCCCUGACGAAAAAUCCCUAACUAGUAUAACAAAGAAGAAUACUGAGAGUUUCAGGGAGUAUGCGAUCAAAUGGUGCGAACAAGCUGCUAGAGUAAAACCGCCAAUGAAAGAAAGCAAAAUAGUGGAGGUGUUUAUUCAAGCGCAGGACGAAACAUAUUAUCAACACUUGUUACCUGCAUUAGGCAAGUCGUUCAUUGAGGUCCAUAAAAUGGGGGAGAUGAUAGAAGAGGGAAUUAAGACUGGUGGCAUUGUGAGUUUUGCAACAUUGAAAGCGACUACUCAAGUAAUUCAAAAGGGUUCAGGAAGUAUUGGGGAGAAAAAAAAUGAGGAAGAUGCAUCUGCAAUUAUAGUUGGACAGCAAGAAAGGUCAAGAAGACCACGUCGUCGUCGAUCUCAGGCUCAAGCUCAAGUUUAUGCCCAGGCUCUACAUAAUCACUUCCAAAAUCCAUUAUACUCUGUUCCUCCACAUCCAUAUCCAGUGUAUAAUGCACAACCACAUGUUCAACCCUCAUCUUACCCACAAUGGCAUACCCCAACGCCCCAGAGUCAUCCUCUAACUCCACAAACAUACCAAAACCCUUCUAAGCCAGAUUUUCUAUCCAAGACAAACAAUGAAAUGAGGCAGAAGUCGAGAGAUAGCUUUACACCAAUUGGAGAGUCAUAUGCCAGUUAAUUUCAGAGAUUGGUACAGGAAGGAAUGGUCACUCCUCUCCUUAGGCACACCCUUAAUCGGCGUUCAAGAAAUUUUGAUCCUAACGCACGAUGUGCGUAUCAUUCUGAGGCUCAGGGUCAUAGUAUUGAAGAUUGUUAUACGUUGAAAAGAGAAAUUGAAAAGAUGAUUCAAGAUAAAUCAAUCAUGAUACAGAACAUUGACAGUGAGGAAAACUCUAGUCAUGACGAUAUGCAAACCAGUGGCUAAGAUGCCAGGCUGAGCAAUUGAGAAGUCACCCCUCUCCUUACUAGGAAGGGGUCUGGUAGCUUGUUUUGUUUUAUUUUCUACUGUCCGAAUUAUUUCAGGGUUGUAGUUCGGGAUCUAUCUUGUUUUGUCCUUUUGUCGUUUAUGUUCAAACCCUUCUAUCUUUUGUUUCAACUAAAUGAAGUGUCCCAUUUUUCUUUGUUUUAAUUAUGUGUUAUUUGUUUAUUUUCUUUAUACAGUACAUUUUAUGUUGACUCUAGUGAUAUGACAUGCUUGCGGAAUUUUCAGCCAAAUCUUAAAGUCCAAUUUAACCAUGACAUAUUAAAUCAGAGGGUUAAGGUGAGAAAAAGCAUUUGAGAAAAAUUUAUAGAGUGUUGACACAUUUGGUAACCAUAUUGAAGCCUUCUUUCAAAAUUAAAGCAAUUAUUUUGAGAAUCACAAGAAUAACUUGGUCAUCAAUUGAAAAACAAAGCUCAAUUAGGUCAAAUAGCGCAUGUGUGCUCCUGAGGAGCAGAACAAAAAUCAACUCCACGAAAGCAUGAGUCAUUCAAUGUGAGGGAUGUACAAUAAAGAUGGAGUUGUAUGUUCGACAAGUGUAAAAGAAGAGGUGACACAUAUGCUCGUGGCAAGUUAGUGUUGUAAAAUAUAUCAUAAGUGAUAUUGAUUGUGUACUUUCACAUUGCAUGUUAUGUACUAGCAUCUUCAAGGAUUGUAUGACGAAUGCAUUUCAUUCUGCUAUCCAUAAAUUGUGUUAUCCUUUGUGUACCCCAUUUGAGCCUUAGUUUUAUUUUCUUUCAUACCCCUCUUUUGGGAUCAAGAUACAGUCAACAAAGUUCAAAAGAUAAGUGUCGACCAAAAGAAUAGAGUCAAAAGUUUCCAAAAAAAAAGUGUCAAAAGGAAGGAAAAGAAAAAGUGUCAAGUAAAAUAGAGUGAAAAAAAAGAAAAGAAAUCAGAAUCAAGCAAAAGAAAAAGCUGCCAGAACUACGCAUGACCUGAUUCUCCUCUCUCGGAGGUGAGAUACGUAGGCUGUCCUACUAAGGUCUCGGUCCAACCAAAUAAAUAAUUUAGAAUCACCCAGUCAAAAGAAACUGGGGCAUGAGUUAAUCCUCAUUGUUUGAGUCGACUUCAAAAGUUGUAAGUCCUAACCCACUUCAAGUGUCGUUUGGGCCUCACGCCAUCCUUUCUUUCUAACCUUAUCCAAAAGUCAAGUUACAACCAAAGAAAAUACUUUCAGAUCAAUCUUUGGGGAUAUUAAGGCAAAACAUGCAAGGGAUAUGAUGAUGUAUUUGGGAACUACCUGUCUUCCUCAGCACAAGAAAUUAAGAGAGAAAUAAAAAUGAGAGAGUCUUAUUGGUGAAAAUCCUCACGGGCACCGUAAGGCGAUAGUAAGUUGAGAGAGAGAAAAAUGAGAGAGUCUUAUUAGUGAAAACCCUCACGGGCACCGUGAGACGAUUGUGAGUUGGGAGAAAUGAGAAUAAGAGAGUCUCAUUAAUAAAAACCCUCACAGACACCAUAAGACAAGGGUGAGCUGAGGGAAAGACCCUUCAAAACGUCACUAGCCGAAUGAGGUCUGAAUGCAAUUNNNNNNNNNNNNNNNNNNNNNNNNNNNNNNNNNNNNNNNNNNNNNNNNNNNNNNNNNNNNNNNNNNNNNNNNNNNNNNNNNNNNNNNNNNNNNNNNNNNNNNNAGCUUAAUCCAAAAUGCAUGGCAUAAUCAUUAGAGUUGACUGUCAUUUUUAGAAAAUUUGUCAUUUCUUUGUUUCAAAAGGGGACACUCAUUGUCUUUUCUUUCUUCUCUUUAUUUUAUUUUGUUUUCUUGAGUUAGUGGUCCAAAUAAAAGUCAUUGUCAUUUUUCUCUUAUUUUUGAGUCAAGUCCAUAUCAAAACAAGUGAGAAAAAAUUUUAAAACUGGCCACCAGCUUCUUCAAUUGCACAAUGCAAGACAAAGUCAGCAUAUGAAAGAGAAAUAAUUGUGAGCUGAAGAAGGCAUGCAGAAAGCUAUCAACAGACAAGCUGGGGAACUUAUGAAAAUACCAAGGUUUGAAGGAUUUAUCUAAGAAGCAUGACAAAGCAGAGAUACUGUGGUUAUUUUGGAGUCACUCUUAAUGAUCUGAGUUUGGAUCAAUGACAUGACAAAGUAGGGGCAAAUGUCAGCAAUCUGAAACAAAAUGAAGGGAAUGAACACUAGAGCAAAUGCCUGGAAAGCCAAGUGUUGCAAGCUACCACUAAGUUUUUAACUGACAAAUUUUCUUUGUUGAAAUAGGGGCAGAUUCGCUUCACUUAAUGCAGCUACCAUUGGAAAUGCACAUCUGUGAGACUUUACUUUAUGUUCAGGACCCUCCUGAAAAAUGGAAUUUUACUUUCUGUUCAGAACCCUCCUGAAAAAUGGGAUUCUACUUUAUGCUCAGGACCCUACUGAAUAAUGGGAUUUUACUUUCUGGUCAGGACCCUCCUGAAGAAUGGGAAUUUACUUUUAGUUCAGGACCCUCCUGAAAAAUGGGAUUUUACUUUAUGUUNNNNNNNNNNNNNNNNNNNNNNNNNNNNNNNNNNNNNNNNNNNNNNNNNNNNNNNNNNNNNNNNNNNNNNNNNNNNNNNNNNNNNNNNNNNNNNNNNNNNNNNNNNNNNNNNNNNNNNNNNNNNNNNNNNNNNNNNNNNNNNNNNNNNNNNNNNNNNNNNNNNNNNNNNNNNNNNNNNNNNNNNNNNNNNNNNNNNNNNNNNNNNNNNNNNNNNNNNNNNNNNNNNNNNNNNNNNNNNNNNNNNNNNNNNNNNNNNNNNNNNCUUUAUACUCAGAACCCUCCUGAAAAAUAGGAUUUUACUUUCUAUUCAGGACCCUCCUGAAGAAUGGAAAUUUACUUUCAGUUCAGGACCCUCCUGAAAAAUGGGAUUUUACUUUAUGUUCAGGACCCUCCUGAAGAAUGGGAAUUUACUUUCAGUUCAGGACCCUCCUGAAAAAUAGGAUUUUACUUUAUGUUCAGGACCCUCCUGAAAAAUGGAAGUUUACUUCAUGUUCAAGACCCUCUUGAAGAAUAGGACUUUACUUUAUAUUCAAGUCCCUCCUGAAAAAUGGGAUUUUACUUUUCGUUUAGGACCCUCCUGAAAAAUGGGAGUUACUUUCUAUUCAGGACCCUCCUGAAAAAUGAGAUUUUACUUUCUGUUCAGGAUCCUUUUGAAAAAUGAGAUUUUACUUUCUGUUUGGAUUCCUCUUGAAAAAUGGGACCACGCUUUCAAAAAUGAAAUACUACCUUAUGAUAAUCCUGGUGUGGGAAAUUCGAGCAACAUUUGUAAGAAGACGCGCUUCCUUGUUUGGCUAAUUCCAACAAUAUUUAUAAGGGGACACACUUCCUUGUUUUGACAAUUCAAGCAAUAUUUGUAAGGAGACACACUUUCUUAUUUUGGUAAUUCAAGCGCUAUCAUAAGGAGACGCACUUCCAAAGGAGACACACUUCCUUGUUUGGUAAUUCGAUCGUCAUUUGUAAGGAGACGCACUUCCUUGUUCGGGUAAUUCCAUCAACAUUUGUAAGGAGAUGCACUUUCUUGUUUGGGUAAUUUAAGCAACAUUUGUAAGGAGACACACUUUCUUGUUGAGUAAUUCAAGCAACAUUUGUAAGGAGACGCACUUCCUUGUUUGGUAAUUCUAGCAACAUUUGUAAGGAGACGCACUUUCUUGUUAGGUAAUUCAAGUGACAUUUGUAAGGAGAUGCACUUCCUUGUUUGGGUAAUUCAAGCGGCAUUUGAUAAGGAGACACACUUCCUUGUUUGGGGUAAUUCAAGCAACAUUUGUAAGGAGACGCACUUCCUAGCUUGGGCAAUUCAAGAAACAUUUGUAAGGAGACUUCCUUGUUUAAGUAAUUCAAGAGGCAUUGGUAAGGAAAUGCACUUCCUUGUUUUGAUAAUUCAAGCAACAUUGGUGAGGCACUUUCUAACUUAAGUCUUGAUUCCUAGAAGAUCCACUUUCUCUUUGACUUAUUGCACUUAAUACUUAGGAGACACACUUCCUUGCUAGUUUUCAUUUUUCAGGUGACACACUUUUAACUGAAACUUGUAUCUCUAGAAGACGCACUUUCUAGUUAGAAUCCCUCACUUUAAUUCUUAGGAGCUGCACUUCCUAGUCUUGGUUAUUUAAUUUUACUCUUAAGAGACGCAUUUCUUAGUCAGAGUCUUGAUUCAUCAUUGCAACAUGCAAGUAGGUAUGAUGUGACUUUUCCAAAAGUCUUCUGAUGAUAAACUGGGGUAAAAAUUCAAUUUCUGUUUUUGAAACUUUACUUUUCUGGCAAAUAAAUGGAAUUUCUUUUUAUAAUAAUAUUUGUUUGGGAUAAUUUUCUUUUUAGUUUUGAUGUGAUUUCAGGAGCCUGCCCGAAGCACAGGACGAAUAAAUGGAAAACUAAGCAACAAGGUGAAGAAAUUGAAAGUUGAACAGAUUGAAAAAUAGCAAGUCAGGAGCCCGCCUGCAGAACAGGGUGAAGAAGUUGAAAGCAUAGCAACAAGUUGAUGAAAUAGCAAGUCAGGAACUCGCCUGGAGAACAGGGUGAAGAAAUUGAAAGACAAGCAACAAGUUAAAGAAAUAGCAAGUCAGGAGCCCGCCUGAAGAAUAGGGUGAU